rnacentral:rRNA from 1 species
UACGUAGGGGGCAAGCGUUGUCCGGAAUCAUUGGGCGUAAAGAGCGUGUAGGCGGCCAGAUAAGUCCGCUGUGAAAACUCGAGGCUCAACUUCGAGCUGUCGGUGGAAACUAUUUGGCUAGAGUCCGGAAGAGGAGAGUGGAAUUCCUGGUGUAGCGGUGAAAUGCGCAGAUAUCAGGAAGAACACCAGUGGCGAAGGCAGUGGUCUGGGCCGAUACUGACGCUGAGGAGCGAAAGCGUGGGGAGCAAACAGG